rnacentral:rRNA from 1 species
GACGAACGCUGGCGGCGCGCCUAACACAUGCAAGUCGAACGGUGAACGGGGCUUCGGCCCCGGGAUCAGUGGCGAACGGGUGCGUAACACGUGGGCAACCUGCCCCAGACCCUGGGAUAACCCCGGGAAACCGGAGCUAAUACCGGAUACUCCGACCGAACCGCAUGGCUCGGCCGGGAAAGGUCCGCCGGACUGGGAUGGGCCCGCGGCCUAUCAGCUUGGUGGUAGGGCGAUGGCCAACCAAGGCGACGACGGGUAGCGGGCCUGAGAGGACGACCAGCCACACUGGGACUGGGAUACGGCCCAGACUCCUACGGGAGGCAGCAGUGGGGAAUCUGGCACAAUGGGCGAAAGCCUGUUGCAGCGACGCCGCGUGAGGGAUGAAGGCCCUCGGGUUGUAAACCUCUUUCGGCAGGGACGAAGCGAUCGUGACGGUACCUGCAGAAGAAGCCUCGGCUAACUACGUGCCAGCCGCCGCGGUAACAC